GAAGAACAGUCCUUUAAUUAUUAUCCUCAAGAUCUGAAAAAAAUAAAUCUUGGACUUAAAGAUCUCAGGAUAAAAAAACUCUUUCAGUCGAGAAAAACCUGACCUACUAAGAUAAGAAAAACCUCACCUACUAGGCUUCAAAAAUCUACUUACUGUCCAACCACAUCUUUAACCAAAUCUUCUAUUACUUGGAGAGAAAUAAAAAAUGAUACUAAAGAUUAUAGUGUAGAACCUAC
rnacentral:lncRNA from 1 species